GAUAAGGAGCUUGCUCCUUUGAAGUUAGCGGCGGACGGGUGAGUAACACGUGGGUAACCUACCUAUAAGACUGGGAUAACUUCGGGAAACCGGAGCUAAUACCGGAUAACAUUUAGAACCGCAUGGUUCUAAAGUGAAAGAUGGUUUUGCUAUCACUUAUAGAUGGACCCGCGCCGUAUUAGCUAGUUGGUAAGGUAACGGCUUACCAAGGCGACGAUACGUAGCCGACCUGAGAGGGUGAUCGGCCACACUGGAACUGAGACACGGUCCAGACUCCUACGGGAGGCAGCAGUAGGGAAUCUUCCGCAAUGGGCGAAAGCCUGACGGAGCAACGCCGCGUGAGUGAUGAAGGGUUUCGGCUCGUAAAACUCUGUUAUUAGGGAAGAACAAAUGUGUAAGUAACUGUGCACAUCUUGACGGUACCUAAUCAGAAAGCCACGGCUAACUACGUGCCAGCAGCCGCGGUAAUACGUAGGUGGCAAGCGUUAUCCGGAAUUAUUGGGCGUAAAGCGCGCGUAGGCGGUUUCUUAAGUCUGAUGUGAAAGCCCACGGCUCAACCGUGGAGGGUCAUUGGAAACUGGGAAACUUGAGUGCAGAAGAGGAAAGUGGAAUUCCAUGUGUAGCGGUGAAAUGCGCAGAGAUAUGGAGGAACACCAGUGGCGAAGGCGACUUUCUGGUCUGUAACUGACGCUGAUGUGCGAAAGCGUGGGGAUCAAACAGGAUUAGAUACCCUGGUAGUCCACGCCGUAAACGAUGAGUGCUAAGUGUUAGG
rnacentral:rRNA from 1 species